AAUGCUAAAAAGCUAAAAGUUUAGUUUCACUUAAAAACAAUAUUGUCUGUCAUAAAAAUUAAAAAAAAUCGUACAAUAAACAUUGGAACUACAUGAUAAAUCGAAAAGGUAUUAUUUUUCUACUAAAUGAGUGUUUUUUUAAUGGAACAACGGAUUGGGUAGCCUUGAUAAUACAUAUUAACAUGCCAGGCGGGCGGACAUAAGAAUCAUCUACUUGUCAACAGCACCACCCGUCCAGGAUGUGCUCACUUUACAGAGCAAGCGCUCCUUAACUCACGCACGGAGGAGACACAUGGAAGAAGCACUUGAUGGAGGAGAAAAAAACAACAAAAGUGGUGUUAAAACUAAGGAUCUUUAAUGGCUUCACUACGACGGAGGAUAUCACCUAAGCAGGAUGCAAUAGAGCAUGCUGUGAAGGGCGUCGACAAGACCGCAAAGUUGGAAGUGAAGUAUAUAAAUUCAGUCAAAGGUCGAGGGGUCUUUACAAAGUCCCAUUUCAGUAAAGGAGACUUUGUUGUGGAGUACCGAGGCGAAUUCUUAAAUUCCGAUGAAUCCCUGAGGAGAAGAACAAUCUAUCAUGGCAGAUGUUCUGUCUUCAUGUUUGAAUUCCAAUGGAAUGAAAAAACUUGGUGGUAAGGCUUAGUGUGACUUUACACCUCUUUACACCUCAUUUAAAAGUCUUCCUGUUAGGGAUAUGAGUAAAGAAUUGACUAAAGUUAUUUUGCUUUAAAGAUGUGUACUUAUGAGAUGUUUAAGUUGAAAAAGAUGAAGUGAUCUUGCCUUAAGUUCUCGUUCUAAGACAUGGUGGUACAUUGUUCCAAGAUCCAAUCAAAGAUUUAGCAAGGACCUCUUAAAUUAUUAAUAUUCUUUUUAAAGUAUUGAUGCAGCUCAAGAAGACAGCAGUCUAGGGCGUCUGGUCAAUGAUGACCACAAGAAUCCGAACUGUAAAAUGAAAAAGAUCCUGGCAGACAGGAAACCACACCUCUGUCUCUUCGCUGGGAGGGACAUAGAUGCUGGGGAAGAGAUAACGUACGACUAUGGUGGAUCUGAUUGGCCAUGGAGAAUACAGGUUUGACAAAUUUGACAAGUUGUUAGCACUUUAAGUAUGUUUUGAUAUCAUCAGGAUCAAUGUUAGUGAAGUCAGAGGUCUGAUCCGAGUCACAUUCAGGUUUUUAUGAUGUUCAGGAGACAUAUUUAAGUCUGAAAUCAGAGUCAAUUAAAUCCCUUU